UACGUAGGGUGCAAGCGUUGUCCGGAAUUAUUGGGCGUAAAGAGCUCGUAGGCGGUCUGUCACGUCGGCUGUGAAAACUCGGGGCUCAACUCCGGGUCUGCAGUCGAUACGGGCAGACUUGAGUGUUGCAGGGGAGACUGGAAUUCCUGGUGUAGCGGUGAAAUGCGCAGAUAUCAGGAGGAACACCGGUGGCGAAGGCGACACGCUGGGCCGUACCUGACACUGAUGCGCGACAGCAUGGGGAGCAAACAGG
rnacentral:rRNA from 1 species